UUCCUUCUGAGAAGCAGUCACCCGGCUGUUGRAUUUUCGGUUAUCCAUUGGUCUUGUCUGGACCGUGAAGUCGCGGGAGAGUUUYMACAAAAAUGGUGGAUAAAUAAAUAGAGUUCACUAAGGCCGUUUUAAAAAAGUAUCAAUUUACGGUCUGCUUAACAGGGUGGCGAUCCCAUAGACACCAAUGCGAUAGCAGCUGGGUCUGGUCUGCUUUGUUCAUUGAUUGAACCAGAAAAAACAGCGACUGAAUUGGAAUCCUUCCUGCACCCCCCCAAAAAAACGUGACUAGCUAGCAUAUUGACGCCGAUAAAUACAGAAACAAAUGUCUUUGAAUGCUAACUGUCAAAGGUGACCGUUAGGAUCGCGUGACUAGAAUGGGGGAUAAUUUGGAGCGCGUGCUCCAUUGCGAUGACAAGGAGGAGUUGAGGCGGAAACUGGCCCUGCUACAGAGGGAGUACUCCAGGACAGUUCAGAGAUUACAGGUGAGAGAUAUGGUGUGUAAAGYCGGUAGCAGGUGUGCGUGUGUGGUGAGGGUGUAUGCACUGGUGUGUUAGUAGUGUGUGUAGUAAGCGCCACAAUCAUGACUGAUAUCUGCGUUGUGUGGUACUGCACAUGUUUGACAACAUUGAUGUACAUU